rnacentral:rRNA from 1 species
GACGUAGGGCGCGAGCGUUGUCCGGAAUUAUUGGGCGUAAAGAGCUUGUAGGCGGUUUGUCGCGUCUGCUGUGAAAAUCCGGGGCUCAACCCCGGACUUGCAGUGGGUACGGGCAGGCUAGAGUUCGGUAGGGGAGACUGGAAUUCCUGGUGUAGCGGUGAAAUGCGCAGAUAUCAGGAGGAACACCGAUGGCGAAGGCAGGUCUCUGGGCCGAUACUGACGCUGAGGAGCGAAAGCGUGGGGAGCGAACAGG